UAAUCCUCAGGAAUAUAGAAGCAGAAAUGCCCCCAGGAACUGGUGCUGAUAAGCUAAGCCUAGCCCUGAGUUGGAAUCAUCUAGAACCCUUCUUUUCUGCUUUCCAAGUACACACACAUGUGUUUGUGAGAAAGAAUAUGAAGAGUGACAGAGGGGAAGCUCAUGAAAGUCUUGAAGAAUUUCAGCCUCACUGGUUGGGGUGAUUAAUUGUCAAAUCAGAUCCGGGGAUCUCACCAGCACAGACACUGCACUGAGCAAGCUGCUUCACUCUCACCAUGCUCGACCUGGACGCUUGGCCCCACAUUCCGCAGAGUAUCCUACUGCUGACCCUACUGCUGGGACUCACAG